rnacentral:rRNA from 1 species
CGGCAGCCUCGCCGACCGUUUCCGAAAGGCUCGGCGCCCGCGCACGACGCGUCGGUCACGAACUCCGACAGCGGCGCCCCGCUCUGCGGCGAGUAGAUCGGCGACCCNUCCGACCCGUCUUGAAACACGGNCCAAGGAGUCUAACAUGUGCGCGAGCGAUCGGGUGUCGAGAGACCCAAACCCACAAUGAAAGUGAAGGCCCGGAUUGCCGGGCCGAGGGGCGAUCCCUUCCCCUCGCGGGCGGGCGCAGCCCCGGGACGCGCCGAUCGCAUCGUCGACGGCUCGUACCCCGAGCGUACACGUUGGGACCCGAAAGAUGGUGAACUAUGCCUGGCCAGGACGAAGUCAGAGGAAACUCUGAUGGAGGUCCGUAGCGAUUUUGACGUGCAAAUCAAUCGUCCGAGCUGGGUAUAGGGGCGAAAGACUAAUCGAACCAUCUAGUAGCUGGAUCCAUCCGAAGUUUCCCUCAGGAUAGCUGGCGCUCGCANGACCGAGUUUCAUCCGGUAAAGCGAAUGAUUAGAGGCCUUGGGGCCGAAACGANCUCAACCUAUUCUCAAACUUUAAAUGGGUGAGAAGUCGGGCUUGCUCGACUGAAGCACCGACCNUNGAAUCNAGAGUGCCAAGUGGGCCACUUUUGGUAAGCAGAACUGGCGCUGUGGGAUGAACCAAACGCAGAGUUAAGGUGCCCGAGAGAACGCUCAUCAGAUCCCAUGAAAGGUGUUGGUUGCUAUAGACAGCAGGACGGUGGCCAUGGAAGUCGGAA